CAAAAACUGAAAAAUUAUAUUAAAAAAUGAGAAAGGAAAGAAAGGAAGAAAGAAACAGAUCAGACAAAGCAGCCUCUUUUCUCCUUCAUCUUUCCCUGGCUAAAGUAUGUACUGAUUGCUUGUGAGAGAGAUACAUGGUGCCUAUGGCUGCUAGUGCUAAUCCCUCAGGCGCAGGCAAUAAUCAAGAAGGGGCGUCCCCUCAGAAGAUUCCGUCUUCUAAGGCCACCGCUGCUGCCGCUGGCGUUCCUGUAAAUUCUACCAAAAGUGGGGGUAGUAAUUCCGGAGCUUCCGCUGCAGCUGACAAUUCGCAAACGGAGGCCGCCUUGAGGCACUGCCCUGGUAUUUCCACUGAGUGGACUGCCGAGGAGCAGUCGCUUCUCGAGGAUUUGCUCAACAAGUAUACCUCAGAAUCAAUGGUUCAACGGUAUGCCAAGAUUGCUCUCCAGUUAAAGGACAAAACGGUUAGGGAUGUGGCACUGCGUUGUAGAUGGAUGACUAAAAAGGAAAAUGGUAAGCGAAGGAAAGAAGAUCAUUCAGCUAGGAAAAACAAGGACAGAAAGGAAAAAGCUGCAGAUUCUUCAGCUAAGUCAUCAUCUCAUUUGACACCUCGCCCUAAUGGUCCUUCAUAUGCUCCCCCAAUGAUCCCUAUGGACAAUGAUGAUGGCAUCUCUUACAAAGACAUUGGUGGUGCAAGUGGAGAGCUUCUUGAGCAAAAUGCUCAAAUUUUAAGUCAAAUUUCAGCAAAUUUUGCAUCUUUUCAGAUACACGAUAAUCUUAAUCUCCUCAGCAAAACUCGGGACAACAUCCUUUCUAUCUUGAAUGACUUGAAUGACAUGCCAGAGAUAAUGAAACAGAUGCCUUCACUUCCUGUGAAGGUGAACGAAGAGCUUGCCAACUCCAUCCUUCCCCCAUCAUCACAUCAUAUUAAAUCAUGAUGCCUGUGUGCUGAUGAUGCCUCUGAAUUUUGCCCUCAAGUUGGGAUCUCUUGGUUG
rnacentral:misc_RNA from 1 species